rnacentral:rRNA from 1 species
AUCACAGUAAGUAUAGUGGGUCAGUUCAUUUACUUUGAGUAAAUUAGAGUGUUCAAAAGCAGCCUGUAUGGGCAUUGAAUAGAUUAGCAUGGGAUAAUAGAAUAGGAUUCUUAUCUAUUAUUGGUUUAUAGACUUAGAAUAAUGAUUAAUAGGGAUAGUUGGGGGCACUUGUAUUCAAUAGUCAGAGGUGAAAUUCUAGGAUUUAUUGAAGACAAACUUCAGCGAAAGCAUUUGCCAAGGAUGUUUCAUUAAUCAAGAACGAAAGUUAGGGGAUCGAAGACGAUUAGACACCGUCGUAGUCUUAACUAUAAACUAUGCCGACCAGGGAUAUGAGAGUUUUUAUUUAUGCUAUGAAUAAUAGCAUAAUCUCUUGUGGACCUUGUGAGAAAUCAUAAGUUUUUGGGUUCUGGGG